AUUCUUUUAGAUUCGAAGCGGUUAGUGGCGGACUGGUGAGUAACACGUAAGGAACCUGCCUAUUAGAGGGGGACAACAGUUGGAAACGACUGCUAAUACCGCAUGACACAUUGGGGUCGCAUGGCCUUGAUGUCAAAGAUUUAUCGCUGAAAGAUGGCCUCGCGUCUGAUUAGCUAGUUGGUGAGGUAACGGCCCACCAAGGCGACGAUCAGUAGCCGGACUGAGAGGUUGACCGGCCACAUUGGGACUGAGAUACGGCCCAGACUCC
rnacentral:rRNA from 1 species